GACGAACGCUGGCGGCGUGCUUAACACAUGCAAGUCGAACGGAAAGGCCCUGCUUUUGUGGGGUGCUCGAGUGGCGAACGGGUGAGUAACACGUGAGUAACCUGCCCUUGACUUUGGGAUAACUUCAGGAAACUGGGGCUAAUACCGGAUAGGAUCUCCUGCUGCAUGGUGGGGGUUGGAAAGUUUCGGCGGUUGGGGAUGGACUCGCGGCUUGUCAGCUUGUUGGUGGGGUAGUGGCUUACCAAGGCUUUGACGGGUAGCCGGCCUGAGAGGGUGACCGGCCACAUUGGGACUGAGAUACGGCCCAGACUCCUACGGGAGGCAGCAGUGGGGAAUAUUGCACAAUGGGCGGAAGCCUGAUGCAGCAACGCCGCGUGCGGGAUGACGGCCUUCGGGUUGUAAACCGCUUUCGCCUGUGACGAAGCGUGAGUGACGGUAAUGGGUAAAGAAGCACCGGCUAACUACGUG
rnacentral:rRNA from 1 species